rnacentral:rRNA from 1 species
UAGGGAAUCUUCCACGAUGGGCGCAAGCCUGAUGGAGCAACACCGCGUGAGUGAAGAAGGGUUUCGGCUCGUAAAACUCUGUUGUUGAAGAAGAACGUGCGUGAGAGUAACUGUUCAUGCAGUGACGGUAUUCAACCAGAAAGUCACGGCUAACUACGUGCCAGCAGCCGCGGUAAUACGUAGGUGGCAAGCGUUAUCCGGAUUUAUUGGGCGUAAAGCGAGCGCAGGCGGUUGCUUAGGUCUGAUGUGAAAGCCUUCGGCUUAACCGAAGAAGUGCAUCGGAAACCGGGCGACUUGAGUGCAGAAGAGGACAGUGGAACUCCAUGUGUAGCGGUGGAAUGCGUAGAUAUAUGGAAGAACACCAGUGGCGAAGGCGGCUGUCUGGUCUGUAACUGACGCUGAGGCUCGAAAGCAUGGGUAGCGAACAGG